rnacentral:lncRNA from 1 species
GUGUUUUUAUCUGUUUUAUCUGUUCUUGCAACACUGCCUUCUUUAUCACUUUGCUUUGGGUGAUAUAGCUCAGCAACACAGCAACUGCCUGAAAAGCAUGAGGUCCAGAGUUCGAUUCCUGAUACAAAAAAAAAAAAAAAAAAGGCAAAAGAAAAACGAAGAAAAAAAGAAAGGAAAGGAAAAACUUUGUCCUAUCUACAUCUCUCCUGUUUUUCAAGAGAUCCUUAACACAUUCUCUGGUCAUAAUUUCUCUAUAAGACAUCACAGAGACUGUAAGACAUCUGGAUCAUGGGCCUCAGUACCUGUAGCCUGGGAUUCUUCUGGCAGUUUUGAAGUGAAGGAUAAGUCCCUUCUCCAGGGAAGAGAACUCAAAUCCUGUACCAUGGCUGCAUUUCUCUGAAGAGUGAAGAAGCACAGGAAGCAGGUCCAGAUUUUUAAAGGAGGUGGUAGAAAGCACAUCCUCUCCUAUACUUGCACCUUUCAGAUUAAAUUUUUAU